UACGUAGGCCGCGAGCGUUGUUCGGAAUUACUGGGCGUAAAGAGUGUGUAGGCGGUGCUCUAAGUUCGGUGUGAAAUCUCCUGGCUCAACUGGGAGGGUGCGCCGGAAACUGGAGUGCUUGAGCGUGGGAGAGGAAAGCGGAAUUCCUGGUGUAGCGGUGAAAUGCGUAGAUAUCAGGAGGGACAUCUGUGGUGUAGACGGCUUUCUGGACCAUAGCUGACGCUGAGACACGAAAGCGUGGGUAGCAAACAGG
rnacentral:rRNA from 1 species